rnacentral:rRNA from 1 species
UACAGAGGUCCCGAGCGUUGUUCGGAUUCACUGGGCGUAAAGGGUGCGUAGGUGGCGUGGUAAGUUUGAUGUGAAAGCUCAGGGCUUAACCCUGAAAUGGCAUUGAAUACUACUGUGCUGGAGGUUUGGAGGGGGGACUGGAAUUCUUGGUGUAGCAGUGAAAUGCGUAGAUAUCAAGAGGAACACCAGUGGCGAAGGCGAGUCCCUGGACAACACCUGACACUGAGGCACGAAAGCUAGGGGAGCAAACGGG